rnacentral:lncRNA from 1 species
CCUGUUUCCUAGUCUGGUUUCUUCUUGGUGACCUGGGAAAGGAGGAGGAAGGGUUUCACUUGGCUGGCCUCUACAGAGUCCAUCUCUCUCAGUCCAUCCCACCCACCCAGGGUUGGAGUCCCUCCAGAAGCUGAGCAGCCAUGACAUUUGCUGAGGAAAAGACCUAUAAGUAUAUCCGCUACAACCACAGCAAGUUUUGCUGUGUUGAUGUUCUGGAGAUCCUGCCUUACCUGUCCUGCCUCACAACCAGUGACCAGGAUCGAUUACGGGCUUCCUACAAGCAACUAGGAAACCAGGGCACACUCUGGGAACUCUUCAAUACGCUCCAGCGUCGGCCUGGCUGGGUAGAGGUCUUCAUCCGGGCACUGAGGAUCUGUGAGCUGCCUGGGC